rnacentral:rRNA from 1 species
GACGAACGCUGGCGGCGUGCUUAACACAUGCAAGUCGAACGAAGUGGCGAACGGGUGAGUAACGCGUAAUCAACCUGCCCUUCAGAGGGGGACAACAGUUGGAAACGACCGCUAAUACCGCAUACUGAAGUAGGGGAUUGCGUCUGAUUAGCUAGUUUGAGGGGUAACGGCCCACCAAGGCGAAGAUCAGUAGCCGGGCUGAGAGGGUGAACGGCAACAUUGGGACUGAGGCACGGCCCAGACUCCUACGGGAGGCAGCAGUGGGGAAUUUUCCGCAAUGGACGAAAGUCUGACGGAGCAACGCCGGGUGAGUGAUGACGGCCUUCGGGUUGUAAAGCUCUGUUGUUCGGGACGCGGUACCGGAAUAGAAAGCCACGGCUAACUACGUGCCAGCAGCCGCGGUAAUUC